UACGUAGGGUGCAAGCGUUGUCCGGAAUUAUUGGGCGUAAAGAGCUCGUAGGCGGUCUGUCACGUCGGCUGUGAAAACCCGAGGCUCAACCUCGGGCCUGCAGUCGAUACGGGCAAACUAGAGUACUGCAGGGGGAGACUGGAAUUCCUGGUGUAGCGGUGAAAUGCGCAGAUAUCAGGAGGAACACCGGUGGCGAAGGCGGGUCUCUGGGCAGUAACUGACGCUGGAGGAGCGAAAGCGUGGGGAGCGAACAGG
rnacentral:rRNA from 1 species